CACGUAGGGGGCAAGCGUUGUCCGGAUUUAUUGGGCGUAAAGAGCUCGUAGGCGGUUCGGUAAGUCGGGUGUGAAACCUCCAGGCUCAACCUGGAGACGCCACCCGAUACUGCUGUGACUCGAGUCCGGUAGGGGAGCGUGGAAUUCCUGGUGUAGCGGUGAAAUGCGUAGAUAUCGGGAGGAACACCAGUGGCGAAGGCGGCAUCCUGGACCGAUACUGACGCUGAGGAGCGAAAGCCAGGGGAGCAAACGGG
rnacentral:rRNA from 1 species